CGGAACGUAUCCAUAAGUGGGGGACAACCUGGCGAAAGCCAGGCUAAUACCGCAUACGCUCGAGAGAGGAAAGUGGGGGAUCGCAAGACCUCACGCUUUAGGAGCGGCCGAUAUCAGAUUAGCUAGAUGGUGAGGUAAAGGCUUACCAUGGCGACGAUCUGUAGCUGGUCUGAGAGGAUGAUCAGCCACACUGGGACUGAGACACGGCCCAG
rnacentral:rRNA from 1 species